rnacentral:lncRNA from 1 species
UUGGCGCGGCCCGGCCGCUCCGGGUACAACAUGGCCGCUGCCCGGAAAACCUAGCGACGAUCCCGCGGCGGUGGCAGCUCGGCGGCGCGCAUCGGCGUGUGUGACCCGGCGAGGUGCACGGUGGUGGUGAUGGUGGUGGUGGAAUUGGGGUGGAGCCGUGGAGUGGAUUGGGAGUUUGUUGGGUUUGGUAAAGGGUUGGGCGAAUGGAUU